AUUGAACGCUGGCGGCAGGCCUAACACAUGCAAGUCGAACGGUAGCACAGAGAGCUUGCUCUCGGGUGACGAGUGGCGGACGGGUGAGUAAUGUCUGGGAAACUGCCCGAUGGAGGGGGAUAACUACUGGAAACGGUAGCUAAUACCGCAUAACGUCGCAAGACCAAAGUGGGGGACCUUCGGGCCUCACACCAUCGGAUGUGCCCAGAUGGGAUUAGCUAGUAGGUGGGGUAAUGGCUCACCUAGGCGACGAUCCCGAGCUGGUCUGAGAGGAAGACCAGCCACACUGGCACUGGGACACGGUCCAGACUCCUACGGGAGGCAGCAGUGGGGAAUAUUGCACAAUGGGCGCAAGCCUGAUGCAGCCAUGCCGCGUGUAUGAAGAAGGCCUUCGGGUUGUAAAGUACUUUCAGCGGGGAGGAAGGCGGUGGAGUUAAUAACUUCACCGAUUGACGUUACCCGCAGAAGAAGCACCGGCUAACUCCGUGCCAGCAGCCGCCGUAA
rnacentral:rRNA from 1 species